CGAGUGGGUCGUCACAAGAAUCAUCGGGGUAGCCCAUAACCUCCGAAGAUUUACCAUUACCGUUCUGGUCGUCAAACUAAAAAAUGUACAGGAACAUUAAUUCAGAAAGAUGAACAUUAUUUUUUGCAAAAACCGCACAUUCAUCCUAACGAACCGUGCUGUACAGAAGUAUUAAAAUUAAAAUCAGCCAUGCUGGAGGAAUGUAGUAAAAAUCCUUCAGUAAAUAAUAAAGACAUCUUUGACAAUAUUUGUCGUACAAAUCUUGAUGCAGCAACAUAUAUUUGAUACAAUAGUAUGAAAUCGAUAAUGUCAAGAAAGAAGAGAAAAUCACAACCAGGUUUGCCAAAAACUGUGCAGAGUGCACACGAAAUAUUAAAAGAUUAUGAUGUCCUGAAAGAGAUUUACAAGGGAUGUGCAAUCUCAAAUGAUAACAAAUAAGCACUAAUUUUCUCUAAUGCUACAUUACUAACUGCAUUAGAAAAUGCCAAAGAAAUAUAUAUGGAUGGUACUUUUUCAGUUGUACCACGAAUGCCUCCUUUUCAUCAACUCUAUACUGUACACAUACGUUACAAUGACACGGUAUACCACCAUUGACAAUUUCUGUUACGCUUAUCUCACAUUAUCAGAUUAAUAAAUGAUGUCAAUUUAAAUGGAAUUUUUGCUUUAUGUGAAUGUCGUACUAAAUCAAUGUACACAGCAAUAUGAAGAAAAAUAGUUUCUCUUGUUCGACGAUUGCAAGACAACUUAGAAACUGUCAUGUGUGAUUACGAAAGAGCUGCUAUGGAAAGUGUACAAGCACAAUUCCCCAGGAUUGCCAUACAUGGAUGCUGAUUUCAUUUUACUCAGGCUGUAUUAAGCAAGUGGAAGAAGUUGGGAUUGCAAGGAGCAUCGAGAAAGAUUCUGUCAAUGGCUAUGACAAUGCCUUUAGCACCAUCCGAUAUGUUUCCGGAAGCAUUACAUCAAAUUCAGUUAGUCGCUGACCGUUUAUGCGGCACAUUUCCAAAUGUACUUCUGUUUAUGGUAUAUCUGCGCAAUGUGUGGCUUCCUAUUUCUUCCAAAGUCAGCGUAUACGGUUUUGCAGUGAUGACUAACAAUAUUGUUGAGUUGUUUAAUAAUUCUUUUGCACAACGUUUCCAAACAACGCGGUCGAAUUUAUGGAAUUAUUUCAGGCAAGUUUUCACGCGUUUCUAAUACGUAUAAUUCUUCUUAUUUCAUUGCGGUAACAUUUUUAAAAAACUGAUUUAUAGAUAACUUGUUAAAACUAAUCACCGAUCAAACGACUGAUUACGAACGUUUAUUAAAAAACUUAAAAGUCACACGAAUUCGUACUCGCGCCAAUAGAGAAAAGUACGCCAAAAUUUAGUUAUUCCAAGAUAACUUAAUUUGCGGAAUACUGUCAAUUGAUCAACUUCUGAACAUGUUUAAUAAAGAUUAUGAACAACAGUAAUAUGUUGAUAAUGUAUUGUCAAGU